UACGGAGGAUCCAAGCGUUAUCCGGAAUCAUUGGGUUUAAAGGGUCCGUAGGCGGUUUUGUAAGUCAGUGGUGAAAUCUGGUCGCUCAACGAUCAAACGGCCAUUGAUACUGCAAGACUUGAAUUACUGGGAAGUAACUAGAAUAUGUAGUGUAGCGGUGAAAUGCUUAGAUAUUACAUGGAAUACCAAUUGCGAAGGCAGGUUACUACCAGUGGAUUGACGCUGAAGGACGAAAGCGUGGGGAGCGAACAGG
rnacentral:rRNA from 1 species